rnacentral:lncRNA from 1 species
GCAAUUUCAGGUAGCUUUUCUGACUCUUAAAGAGAUCUCAAGUAUACCUUCAGAGAAAUGCCAGCAAAAACUGUAGUCAUUUGGGAAGGAAUAAGCCUGGAAGAAAAAGAUACAACGAACUAGCACAACGAGGAGUUUGAAAAGUUCAUGACAGCUCACAGCUGAUGAUGGUGGCAAUCUUAAGGAUACAGAAAGCUCAUUCCUCAUGCAGGGAAGAAGAAAAUAUUCUAAAGAAGAGAUAAGCAUAUUCCAUGAAAUCAAAAAAGCGUAAAACGCUGGAGGAGAAGUCAGUAGCAAGCAGCUAAGACAACAUGGUACAUGUGGGUCCAAUGUGAAAAACACUAAGUGGGAUGGUUAAUUGUAUGUGUUCCCUUGGCUGGACCAUGAUGACAGAUAUUUGGUCAAACAUUAUUCUGGAUGUUUCUGUAAAGGAGUUUUUGGGCUAGAAGCCCACCAACUGCUAACAACCAGCUGGAGGGUAAGUCAAAAGCUAUGAGAGCCCAGAAGGAGAACAAUUAUUUAGACCUGGAGGGGCCAGUUGGGAAAGUCUUUGAAGGGUCUUCAGAAAAUGGACCAAAAGAAAAGAGGAAAAGUCAUUCUACUGAGAGGUGUUUGUGUAAUCAAAGCAACCGAGGCCUAAGAACUCACAAAAGAUUAGAAAAGGGUAAAGGAUGCCUGGAAAGCCGGACUAGGAAAAGGCUGUGAAGGGCCCUGAAGGUCACAUGUCACAUGUUGCCUGCAGCAUGCAGAAUCAAAACAUGAUAAAUCAUGUCUUGAAUCAUGACAUAUGAAGCAUGACACACGAAUCAUGACAUGUGACAUGUUGAAUGUCACAUGUCACAUGCCGUAGGCAGCCAUCAAGAGUAUUUGAAAGGAAAGUGUAUAAUCAGGCCUGUGCUUUAGUAAGACAAUUUGUAUAGUGUUCAGUGUGGAUUAAAAUGGAGAACACAGGUAUCAGUUUGACAUCGACAGUACAGGAAACCAUUUGGGUUUCUUGUACACCAAAAUAUUAAAACAUACACGCAAACACACCAACACAUUAAAAUCUUGAGAGAGAGGGCCAAAAGUUCUUUGUCGCUGGACUAAAAGUGGAAAUAAAUGUUUACAACCUCUAAGGUGGAUUAAGCUAAGAAUUUGGAGUUGUUGGCAAAACUGCCACAUAAAAUUUCAGACAUGCAAAGAAAUGCAAUCGUAGACUUAUGCACAUACUUCCACCAGAGAAGGGAAUCUGGGCAGAGUGUUCAAAGCUUAAGAAAUUCCUUUGCUCUUCACCAAGAAGAGCCAACAGAGUUUUCGUUGAAUCAACUCUUAUAUUCCCUUAAAAAGAAGUUGAUAGUGUUGUGGAAAACUCACCCAUUGAAGUGACAACAAAAACAGCAACCCAGUAUGAGUUAACUGGUAUUAUGUUAAAGGGACAAGUAACUGCACUUUUGACACACAUCCUCUAAAAGGUAGGGUGGGAGUGUUUCAAAGAACCAAGUCUGAGUAAUAGAAAAGCAUAUACCACUUCCCCAUAUACACGUUCGAGCAUGGGGGAGCAGGAAGCUGGGUAAUUGAAUGCAGUUGUGCACACUGGCAAUUUUCCCGCCACAUACCAUUUCUUCGGUGUCUCUCCCAAAAUUCUCCUCCUAAGUGGCACAUCCCUUUAUUGAUCAUCUUUCCCCAUACUGAUCAUCCUCAGCAAUCAUGUGAGUUAUUAGUCUAAGUAUUUGUUUUUCUCAAAUAUGGUCUUUUAACUACUCCCUAAAUAUUUUAUAUAUACAUAGUUUGUUUUCCCAAUUUAACUACAAGCAUUUAAAAAAUGGGAAUAUUUGUCUAUAUUUCUGUAAUUUUUCAUCAUGCCUUAUAUGGUAUAUAAAGAUCAACAGCAAUAAAACAACAACAGUAAUAAUAGCUAAGACCUUUUGAAUACUAACUGUAUGUUCAGCAUUAUUUCAACAGCUUUACAGGUAUUAACUGAUUUAAUUAUUACAACAACGGCAUGAAGUAGAUACUACUGUUGUCAUCAGUUUAUACUUGAGGAAACUGAGUUAUGGGAUGGUUAAUUAUCUUUUCCAUGGUCACAGAGCCAUUAAAUGUAUGAUCUCAGACAGUCUGACACCUGAGCUGUGCUUCAAUGUACCUGUUAAGAUAUUCUUUUUCUUGAAUUCAAAUUCUGAAAGGAAAACAGAGUUGAAAAAUCAGAGGCCCUAGCUAAUCAAGUAAAGUUUUGCUUUAAAAACAGCAAAAAACAAUCUUCCUAAGGUCUCUGCAACAUUUUGUGGCCCAUCACAGAACAGGGUCAUCUUUGACUUCUACACCAAGGAAAAUGUGGCUUUUGGAUUCUUGGACAGAAUCUACUGCAUGGCCUCUAUCUUCAUAUGCCCUUGCUGGGAUCCGAAGAUAAUAUGAAUAAAGUAGAUAUAGUGGAAGUGAGUAGAAGAAACAUCCUGAACAAAAAACACUUGUUCCACUUGGCCAGCUACCUAUAUUCUCAUCAAGGGAGAGUUGGCCACAGGUAAUACCACAUCAAAGUGCAAACUCUGGAUCAACUUGCACUUUUACUUAUUCCUACCUUUGACACACACAUAGCAUAACAUGUAUAAUUCUUAUUCUGGGCAUAGUUGGUGGUAGGAAGGUUUUUAUACAUUUGAGAUUCUAUUUGGUGAGCAUAUGGUAACAACACAAGAAAUGUGCCAUCAGACUACUGUUCAUCAGCUUACGAAGAUGGCUACAACAAUUCUUAUGAUUCUUGUGCACAUGUUUCUUUGCCAUGCAACUUUGUCACCCCUUCCCAUCAAGACAUAGAGUCCAUUUCUUUUUCCCUUUAAUUUGGCCCUGUGACUUGCCUAAAACCAACAGAAGGCUGCAGAAGGGACAUCAUAUGACUUCAGGGUCUCAGCACCAAAAGGCCUUUCAGCUUCUGCUUUCAGGCUGUCAUUGCUGUGAGAUAGGAAGCCUGGGCCAGCCUCCAUGAGAAUGAGAGACCACACCUGGUCAACAAGGAGAGCCAACCUUCAGCCAUGUGAGUGAGACCAUCCAGCCUCAGUUAAGCUGCCAGAUGACUGAAGCCAGAUAAGUGGCCCCAGGCAAGACCAGCAAAACAGCCAACUGGCUGAGCCCAGCCCAAAUUGCUAAGGCAUAGCAAUUUAGGACAAGAUAAAUUCUUGUGUUUUAAAUCAGGAUUUGUUAUGGAGAAAUGGAUAACUGAUAAAGCUCCAAAUCCUAACUGAGACAAGAAAUUCAACACCUUUUAUAUUACCAUGAUACAAACAUUAUUUUCUUAAUAGUCAUCAUUAAAGCUUUGUAUGUUUAACUGCCCUUCCACUACUACAACAGCUACUGUGCUGGUGCAUUCACAUUCAUGCAUACACAUAAAGACACAUUCUCCAGUUUCCCAACUAGUUACUCAUAUACUCUUUUGGGCUUUCAUUUCUCAAUAUUGCUAUAUUUCCAGCUCAGUCCGUUUAACUAGCUUCAUUCCCAUAUAUCCAGCUCUUCCUGUCUAUGAAGAGUAGCUUACCAUUACUUACUAUGUGCCAGGAACUGUUUCUCACUAUCACUUUAUCAGGCAGAUAGUUCUCUAUCAAUAACUACUGAACAGAUGACUUCAUCUAGUCAACCAUGACAUUAGAAUCAAUCGCAAGAUAGAGAUAGGAAUCAAAGAGAAGAGAUAAAUAUGUUACCCUUAUUACUUAUUUUUAAAAUAUUUAUAUUGGAAAAUACGAUUGCGACACCUACUAACCCACACAAACACAAGAACAUUUGGGCAACCACAGGCCUCCUCCAAUGCAGAUUGGUGUGUGAAAAACUUACAGCAUGGAGGAUUAAAAAAUGUAUAUUCUCUGAAGGCAGAUAUGCCCUUCCAGAUACAAGAAAAUGAAUGAACCAUUAAUGCUGAGUUCUUUCUCCCAAGCUGACCAAUCAGUUGUGACGAUUCCUCUCCCCUAGGAAUAGUCACUCUUGAGAAGUCACAAUUGUAACAUCGAUGGAGGUUUCCUAUAGAAACAUAAAGACUGGGGAUUAUGUGUUUCCCCUAUAACAAAUUUUGUCCUUAUCUUGUGACUUUCCAUUAUGUUUCCAGCCUCAACAUCUUCCCUAAGCCUCAGAAUUAUAUGUACACCUGUCUAUUCAGUCUCUGCUUGGAAGCCUAAUGGGUAUUUCGAACUCAAUAUGUCGAAGAGGAUACUCCUCAUUUUUUUUUUUAACUAUCUCUUCACUCCUCUUUAGUUUGCUAGGGUUGCCAUAACAAAAUAAGGCUGGGAAACUUAAACAGCAGAAUUUUAUCCUCUCACAGUUCUAGAGGCUGGAAGUCCAAGAUCAAGGAGCCAGCAGUGGUUUCUCCUGGUAUCUCUCUCCUUGGAUAACUUCUCACUAUGUCCUCACAUGGCCUUUUCUUUGCACACACAUAUCUCUGGUGUCUCUUCCUUCUUAUAAGGAAUCAACCAUAUUGAAUUAGAGACCCACUCUUAUGAUCUCAUUUAACCUUAAUUACCUCCUUAAAGGCCCUAUCUCCAAAUAUAGUCACAUUAGAGGUUAGGGCUUCAGUACAGGAAUUUUAGGGGUAGGGCACAAUUCAGUUCCUAACAACCCCUCUCACAAUCUUUCCUAUUUUAGGAAAUGGCACCACCACUGAUUAAUUGCUUAGGCUAAAUUUUAGGAAUCAUCUAAGAUUCCUCUUCCCCUCAUACCCCACAUCCAAUCCAUUAGGAAGUUAUGUGUGUUUUACCAAUUUCAUAUCCCACCACCUCCACUAUGGACUCCAGGUUUUGCCAUCUUGUUCUGCCUGCUCUACUGUAAUAGUCUCCUAAAUGGUUAUACUGGUUCCUUUCCUGCCCUGCUACAGUCCAUUUCUCACACAUCCACCAGAGUCAAUCAGAUACCAUUGAAAGUAAAUCAGAUACCAUUGCUUCCCUAAUUUGCAAUCUCUAGUGACUUCUCAUUAUGCUUAGAAUAAAACUCAACUCCAUUUUACAACCCACAUUCAUCUACCCUUGCCCACCUCACCAUCCUUACUACAUAUCACUCUUCCCCAUCAUUCACUCAACUCCAGUCACUUUGGCUGCCUUGACUUUCUUCAAGCAUCCAAAGCUCACUUUGGUGUCACAACCAUUGCAUGUGUUCGUCCUUGUCCAUCCACCUGGAACUCUCUGGAUGUGUCUCCCCCCUUUUCAUUUCACUGAUAUCUCUGCUCAAAUGUAACUUUCUUAAUAGAGCUUUCCUAACUCUAUUUUAAACACACCUCAUGACUUUCAACUCCUUUACCUUCCUUUAUUUACUUUCAAAAUAUUUACAACUGCUUGAAAUUACAUUGCAUUUUUAUUUGUUUAUUGUCUAGUCUUCUCCACUAGGUUGUAAACUUCCUGAGACUUUUUGUUUCUUGCUGUACCUGUAGCACUGAGAAGGGUCCUUGAAACAAAACAGACCCUCAACACAUAUGCAUUGAAUGAAAAUAAUUUAUGCAAUCUAAAUCAUUCUGAUUUGGAAAUUUGAUCAUGCCACUUCCCAUCUUAAGCUCUCCAAUGGCUUCUCAUUCCUCUGUGGAUAGACUUGAAGCAUCCAAUAUGGUGUACGAGACCUUCCUAAUUUUCAGUUUUACCUCUAGCAACUCCCACCAUGCAGCUUGAGCUCCAGUCCUCCCUAACCUUUAUGAAGACUAGAACUGUGCUGCUUCAUCUUGUAAUCCCUGGAGUCUAGCACAAUACCUGACACAAAAUGGUUACAAAGCAGCUGGCAUUAAGUGGCAGGAAUUAUGCUAUAAAACAGAGAGUGUAUAGAGUCUUGAUUUUACAUUUCACUAGCUGGUUACUUUAUUGACAAAAUGGUGAUAAUAAAAUCAGCCCUAGCUAUUUCUCACAGGUGAUUUAAAAAUCAAAUUUAUAUAAAAAUAUUUAGAGAGCACCUACUAUGUGCUGGGCACUGUCCUAUGUGUUGAGGGUACAUUAAUGAGUGAAAUAGACAAUGAUUUCUGCCUUCAUGGAAUUUAUGUUCUAGUAGGUAAAAGACUACACACACACACACACACACACACACACACACACACAGGUAAUAAGUGCAAUAGAACUAAUUCAGGGAAGGAGAAUGAGGAGGGCCUGGUGCAGUGCUUAUGCACAUUUUGUACUUGGUGGUCAGGAAAGGCCUCAUAGAGAUGAUGACAUUUGAACAGAGACCCAAAGGGGUUGAGGGAAUAAACCAUGUAGACAUUUGGGGAAAGAAUAUUCCAGUCAGAGGGAACAAUAAAUGCAAAAACCCUGAGGCAAGAACAUGUCUAUAGUGUUCAAGACCAUAUAUUCUGGGCCAUAAAAUAAAUCUCAAUAAAUUUAAAAGAAUUCACACAAUAUAAAGUGUGCCCUCAGAUCACAACAGAAUUAAAUGAAGCUCAAUUUAAUAAAUAAAAAUAAAUAACAGAAAGCAUCUCUGGAUAAUCCUCAAAUAUUUGGAAACUAAAUAACACACCUCUGAAUACCUCAUGAAUCACAGAAUAAAUCAAAAGAGAAUGAAUGGAAUGAAAUUGAAAACAGAAAUUAUUGAAAUUUGUAAGAUACAUCUAAAUUUAUGAAACUCAAACACCCAUAUCAGAAAAGAAGAAAGGUUUGAAAUUAACAACCUCAGCUUCUGCUUUAAGAAAUUAGAAAAAGAAGAGAAAAUAAAACCCGACCUAAGGAGUAGAAGGAAAAUGAUAAAGAUCAGAGUGGGAAACAAUGAAAUAGAAAAUAGAAAAUGAUAGAGAAAAUUAAUAAAAUUAAAAACUUGUCCUUGAGAAAAUCAAAACUGAUAAACCUUUCAUAAAACAGAUCAGAAAAAGAGAAAGAGAAAACACAAGCUACCCAUAUUAGGAAUGUGAGAAGUGACAGUCCGGAUUUGACCAAUAAUAAAAGGAAAAUAAAGAAAUAUUAUGAACAACUUUAUGCCAAUAAACUUGACAACUUUGAUGAAAA